GUGAGGAAUAUUGGACAAUGGAUGGAAAUCUGAUCCAGCCAUGCCGCGUGCAGGAAGACGGCCCUAUGGGUUGUAAACUGCUUUUAUACGGGAGCAAUAAGGUCUAUACAUAGAUUGAUGAGAGUACCGUAUGAAUAAGCAUCGGCUAACUCCGUGCCAGCAGCCGCGGUAAUACGGAGGAUGCGAGCGUUAUCCGGAUUUAUUGGGUUUAAAGGGUGCGUAGGCGGCUUUGUAAGUCAGCGGUGAAAUUUUGCAGCUUAACUGUAAAAGCGCCGUUGAUACUGUGAAGCUAGGAUUUGGUUGCUGUGGGCGGAAUGUGUGGUGUAGCGGUGAAAUGCAUAGAGAUCACACAGAAUAUCGAUUGCGAAGGCAGCUCACAAAGCCAAUAUUGACGCUGAGGCACGAAAGUGUGGGGAUCAAACAGGAUUAGAUACCCCGGUAGUCC
rnacentral:rRNA from 1 species